UACGGAGGAUUCAAGCGUUAUCCGGAUUUAUUGGGUUUAAAGGGUGCGCAGGCGGAUUUUUAAGUCAGCGGUCAAAUCGUGGGGCUCAACCCCAUCCAGCCGUUGAAACUGGGGAUCUAGAGUGUGCGAGAGGUAUGCGGAAUGCGUGGUGUAGCGGUGAAAUGCUUAGAUAUCACACAGAACACCGAUUGCGAAGGCAGCUUUCCAAGCUAUUACUGACGCUGAGGCACGAAAGCGUGGGGAGCGAACAGG
rnacentral:rRNA from 1 species